AGAUCCCCCUGAGCCUCCUCUUCUCUGAGUUGAAAGCCUUUCCUCUCAGGGGAGGUGCUCCAGUCCCCUCAUCACCUUCAUGGCCAUUUGUUGGAUUGUCUCCAGUAUGUCCAUAUCUCUCCUCUACUGGGGAGCCCAGAACCAGACACACUUCUCCAGGUGUGUCUCACCACUGCUGAGGAAAGGAGAGGAAUCACCUCCCUAAGCUGCUGCCAGUGCUUUGCCUGAUGCAGCCCAGGACACCGUCAGUCUUCUUGCAGCAAGGGCAAAUGAGGAAUGGGGACAGUAAAAACGGAUUGAAAGACCACACAUUUGUGCUGUGUUCCCCACUCUGGACAUCUGCAAUAAAACACCAAAUUAAAAAAAUUACCGUGUCAUGCUUUGCUCAUUGCUGUCAUGGCUAAUGUUUCUCAAUUUUUAUUAAUACCUUUUCAAUGGCUAGUUUUUCUGAGUGUACACCACAGACAUGCAAAACUGGGCAAGUAACAGAACUCUGGAGAAAUUAUGCCAACAUAAUGCCAGCCAGAAGCAGAAAAAAACACCGCCUUUCAAUCCAAUCACAAUUAGAAGACCAAAUAUUUGGUAUUACAAAACCACAUGCUAAAUCGUCGUGUAGGUUUUGAUGCUUCAGCCACUCCAAGCUGCCUCUGACCCCAACUGCCCUCAGAAAUCCUGACCACCCCCAUUUGCAGGCUGAUAUCUGUCUGGUCUAUCAUCCAUCCAUCCAUCCGUCCGUCUGUCAGUCCGUCCAUCCAUCCACCAAGGGAGGUGCCUGAUGCCCAAGAUUGGGAGUGCUCUGGUGGGCCCAGUGGCCCUGCUUAGGCCUGGGGUAGUGGUGGGACAGGCCUGGCUGCCAGGACCUGCCCUGAUGGCCCAUGUAGCCCUGCUACCCCUGUCCCCAGGGGAACCACUGGCCCUAGAGGUGCCCUGUCAUCAUGUCACCUGCACAACUGCUACCACAGAGGCCCCAGGAGCAAGCUCGGUGGGACCAGAGACCAGAAACCCCUCCGCAGCAGAGCACAAGCUUUCUCACCAUAGCAUUUCACAGUGCUGCAAACCGAUUCCUUCAUCCUGCUCCCUUGAAGCUGGUCACCUGCAAGCCUGACUCACAGCAGGGCUCAGCUGUGAGCUGCUGACCUGGUGAUUUCCUGGCACCAUCUGUUUCCUAAUGCCAGCUCUGGCUGCUGCUGUGCCCUCUUUGAACUCUGCGCUCCUCUCCCUGGUCUCACUGGCAAAAUAUUAAUGAGGAAUUGCUUGAAUUUUACUGCUUUAUACAGCUCUGUGGACUACUUGUCUGGUCUGAAGGAAUGAACAUUUGGGAACAGUGCCCUUGGCAUUUACCAGAGCAGAAAGAAGGAAUGGUCUGUGCCCAAAGAUCCAGAAUAUGGGAAGAAGAACAUGCAAACAUUACAGAGGACAAACAGUACCCUGCUUCUUUCCCAGCCAAAGCUCUGGGGAUGUGCAAAAGGCAGAAGAGGGAAGCAAUAUAAAAAUGUAAAUAGAAGUUAGUUAAAACUGGCUGUAUUUUAAAAAUUACUCUUCACUUAUUCAGGGCUGUUCUAUAUAACUACAUCCUAUGAUAUUCUUGUGCAAAGAAUAACUUUAUGACUAUUACCUAAAUAACAGAUUUAUGCCAUGGAAGACAAAACUGAUCCAUAAAAGUUUCAACUUAUUUUCUGGGAAAAUCCAGCAUUUUUAUAAAAACAUUGUAGUUUCAUAUAAACAUUAAUUUAAAACAAGCACUGGCAAAAAGACGGGGGAGAGGAGGAAGCUUACUUUAUAAAACUCCUUGAAAGGUUUACUUAAGAAAUACUUUUGAGGGACUAUUUUAAACCUAAAAUUGUGCUUAGAGGCAAGGAGGAUCAUUCUGCUACAGAAGAAAAGGGGCUUGCCAAGGGCAUAAUUUAUUUACUCAGAAAGAUAAAGCUUAACAAGUUUAAUGGACUGGUUGAAUUUUCACAUAAAGAAAAUAGAGGGAGACAAUGCUCUCAAGUAAAGCGGGAAGAUUUUGGCAUUCCUUUUAAGAAUAGGAGUGUAACUGUAGCUGAGGUACUUGUCCAAAGUGUGUCAAAGAGCAUUCAGUGGAUUCCCAGAGAGGUUUUCAGGGGCAUUUUAAAAAGAGGGUUAAAGAGAAAAUAGCACAGAAUGAGCUAUUAAGGUUUACGAUGUGAGCCAGAUUUUCAAAGGACUUCACAGACUGGAGUCAAAGGCGGCCUAAAUGAGACAGGGCUUGAAAGUUAGGCUCCAGAAAGGGAAUUCGUGGUGCUGAAUCUGCCUCUGAUGACCAAUUUGUAUCGACUGGGGAAAGUCAUAAAUCAGAGGAGGAGAUUUGCAGCACUCAGAUGCUGAAUGGCGAGAAGCAUAAGCCAUCCAGGCAGUAGUCCAGCUAUCAGGAUCAGGACGAGGAAUGGUGGAGAGCUCCCUUCAAAUCUGCUCUAUCUUAUCCAAAUCAAGCAAGUGAGCUAUUUCUGGGGGGAGCUUCACUUUCAGUUAUUGACCACUUUGCUAUGAAAUGCAGCUUAACCAGAAAGUCUUUGCUGUACUCCAUUUUGGAUCCCUCAAAAUGCUGGGAACAUUUCAGCCUUUCUAUGGUUCCUUGUUAGCAGGGUUUUGUGCCAUACAGAAAUAAAGGCAUCACUGAUGUCA
rnacentral:lncRNA from 1 species